ensembl:ncRNA lncRNA:CR45637 long non-coding RNA:CR45637
AUUGGCAAAGGCGACGCUGUCGUCAUUGCCGCACCGACUACUCUGAGGUCUCAGCACACACAGAGACCGGACCGAAAACGAGAAUGAGACCGGGACCGAGACCGAGAACCCAGAGUUACCAGCAAGCAGCAAGCAGCAGCCAGCGAGCGGCGAUGAACAACGACAAGCAACCGUCCAACCGACCAACCAACCAACCGACCGACCGACCGACCCGACCCAACAUUAAAGUUAAAGUAAAGUUGGAAUUUGUGCCUUAACCAGCGCUCUGUCCUCCCCAAGUCCCCCAACCCAUAGCACUCCCUACCUAACGUCCUUCCUUCCCCCAUGCCGCCUUUUGUAAUCAGAAUAAACGAAAAUUCGCUUAAGCCGUGCACCGUGGAGCAGGGAUCCGUUAAAUUAAGAUCUUUUC